CCCUGAUGUGGGGAGUAACCAUUGGAAACGAUGGCUAAUACCGCAUAAUGCCUUCGGGCCAAAGAGGGGGGGGACCUUCGGGGGCCUCUCGCGUCAGGAUAUGCCCAGGUGGGAUUAGCUAGUUGGUGAGGUAAUGGCUCACCAAGGCGACGAUCCCUAGCUGGUCUGAGAGGAUGAUCAGCCACACUGGAACUGAGACACGGUCCAGACUCCUACGGGAGGCAGCAGUGGGGAAUAUUGCACAAUGGGCGCAAGCCUGAUGCAGCCAUGCCGCGUGUGUGAAGAAGGCCUUCGGGUUGUAAAGCACUUUCAGCAGUGAGGAAGGCGGGUACGUUAAUAGCGUGCUCGUUUGACGUUAGCUGCAGAAGAAGCACCGGCUAACUCCGUG
rnacentral:rRNA from 1 species